GCCUGGGUGGCUCAGUCGGUUGGGCAACUGACUUCAGCUCAGGUCAUGAUCUCGCGGUCCGUGAGUUCGAGCCCCGCGUCGGGCU
rnacentral:tRNA from 1 species